UUUUUUUUUCCAGCGCCGCCUCCUCUCAUCCCUGGCGCCGCCUCCUCUCAUCCCUAGCGCCGCCCCUGCUCCUAAGCUUGCAGUCCCAAUCGGCGAACCUCUCCAUCCACGGGAGCUGCUGCCAUCACCGGUUGCUCAUUAGAGUAGAGGGAGGAUUGGCUGCUUCCUGGUGGUGCUCUGCUGGACGCAGGGGGCAAGGAGGCAAUUAAGAGGGCAGCAGAGAAAGGGGAGGGCAGCAGAAGGUUUGACAAAUUCUAGUAGCGAGCGCGUGGUGCCGGAUUCCCGAUAAGAUUAAGGCAAGUGCAAUGACGAACCUCUUGAUGUGUGAUUAUGUUUGUGGCUUUCUUGCUGCCCUUGGGCGACGUUUAUUCAAUAUCUUUAUUUUAUAUGUCAAUUCCUUUAAGAAUCAUGUCAUAAUUUUAUGGUUCUGUCAAAUAUUCAAGAUUCGUAUGUUGCCUUUCAUAUCAUUGAAGUGCCGGAGGUUUGUAUAAACACCGGUUGUGCAAUUUGGGUCUUAUGUUCAGGUUCCUGUGAAUAAGUGCUGGCCACACUUAUUUGGCUUUACCGGUAAAUGCUAAGAAAAUUUCAAGUGACGUACGUUUCAGAGGGUAACUACUAUUUUAUUGUUGUUCCAUAAUUUUGGAAUCCCACUGUUCAUGUACUUGCAGUCAUUUUACCGGUUCCGAAUUGUGCUUGCUGAGUAUUUUUACUCACUCUUGUGUUUAUUUGGCUUUUAGGUGCUCACUGAUCCAGUUUGCAUGGGAUGGGAGUAGCCACUUCAUGAUGAGCAUGCACACAUUUUUUUUUGCGAUUCAUUAAACAAAUCUCUAGGCUGAUUUAUUCUUUUGAUAUCGAGAACUGUCGUGUGGUCGUUUGGAUGUUGCUUAAAUUCGUUUGGUCAUGUUCAUGAUGAGCAUGCAAAAUGAACUAAAUUCGUUUGGUCAUGUU